UGUUGUGUCUCCUUAUUCGGCGUCACUGGAACUGGUUUGCAGUCUAGUGCAUGCAAUAUGAAGUCAUGACUAGACUGAUAACCAGCUCUAGUUUCGUUCCUCUAGUUCCCACCAGUGU
rnacentral:precursor_RNA from 9 species